UCGUGCAGCGGGCGCUGGCGAGGUGACAUCUUCCACGCGUAGCCCUCGAGUUAUAGUAACUGAUAUUAAUCUUUAUAAUUGAAGAUUAAAAAAGCAACUAUCAUGAAGCUGACGUUUGCUCUGGGGCUGAUAGUGGCCGUGGCAGCAAAGGCGGCGCCUACAAACUCGGGUUUUGCGAACCGCGAAACCCAAGAACUUGGAUUAAAUUUCGAUGCAAGAGCGAGAGUCAAAAGAGAUGAAUUUCCCUUCCGUAUAAACCCCUUAACCGUCAGCAAUAAACCUGGAGGGAGUGUCAGCAAUAAACCUGGAGGGAGUGUCAGCAAUAAACCUGGUGGGAGUGUCAGCAAUAAACCUGGAGGGAGUGUCAGCAAUAAACCUGGAGGGAGUGUCAGCAAUAAACCUGGAGGGAGUGUCAGCAAUAAACCUGGAGGGAGUGUCAGCAAUAAACCUGGAGGGAGUGUCAGCAAUAAACCUGGAGGGAGUGU